AAAAAAUUCAUAUUUUCCCCAUAGGCGAGAACCGGCGAGAAAAUUGGAGAGUAAAAUUUGGAAGAAAUUUCUCAGAAUAUUCAUACUAAAGACCAAGAAAUAAUUGCAAAUAUUUCUGAAAAUCGUAAUGCAUUCGAGGUUUGAUUCAAGUUCAAUGGAUUUCGAUAUAGCACUAAUCAAAGUAAAUAUACCUGUGAACCAGCAUCGGAUGCCAAUAUGUUUUUCUGACGUUCCCCCUAAACCUGGAGCAUACUGUUACAUAGCAGGCUGGGGCGUCACGGGGAAAUCAUCCAGGGGAUCACAAAAGCUCAAGAGGAGCAGUUCAUAUUACUGAAUAGCCUCGAAUGCCAAAGAAUAUUUUCCAAAGCAUAUGAUAUCGAACAGAAUGUUAUGCGCUGGUCGACAGUAUGGAUCUAUUGAUGCUUGUAGUGGCGACAGCGGUGGUCCUAUGACAUGUUGGCAACCAAAGCUACGACAGUGGUAUCUUGCGGGCGUAACAAGUUGGGGUUCAGCGUGUUUACCAAACGGCGCACCGGGUGUUUACACUAACAUUGCCUAUUUCUCCAAG